AGAGCGCUUGCAGCUGGCGUCUCAAUAGCGUGCUGGCCCCGUGUGCAGAAGGAGCACGCAAACACGUGCCAGCAAGAUGGCUCCAAAGCGUGCGCUCAGCGUCGAGGACACCCAGGCCCGAAAGACGAGUCGCGCGGAACAGGAGCCUCUAACAAACGCG
rnacentral:lncRNA from 1 species